rnacentral:rRNA from 1 species
UACAGAGGUCUCAAGCGUUGUUCGGAUUCAUUGGGCGUAAAGGGUGCGUAGGCGGCGCGGUAAGUCGGGUGUGAAAUCUCGGAGCUUAACUCCGAAACUGCAUUUGAUACUGCGGUGCUCGAGGACUGGAGAGGAGACUGGAAUUUACGGUGUAGCAGUGAAAUGCGUAGAGAUCGUAAGGAAGACCAGUGGCGAAGGCGGGUCUCUGGACAGUUCCUGACACUGAGGCACGAAGGCCAGGGGAGCAAACGGG